UACGAAGGGGGCUAGCGUUGCUCGGAAUCACUGGGCGUAAAGCGCACGUAGGCGGCUUUCUAAGUCAGGGGUGAAAUCCUGGAGCUCAACUCCAGAACUGCCUUUGAUACUGGAGAGCUUGAGUCUGGGAGAGGUGAGUGGAACUCCGAGUGUAGAGGUGAAAUUCGUAGAUAUUCGGAAGAACACCAGUGGCGAAGGCGGCUCACUGGCCCGGUACUGACGCCGAGGUGCGAAAGCGUGGGGAGCAAACAGG
rnacentral:rRNA from 1 species